UUGGGAAAUAUAAAGUAUAAUUCAGUCUUCCCUGCCAUUGGUGGAACGAUGGCUUCUGAUGAUGCAUCCCUUCAUCAUACCGUCAAAGAGGAGAAGACAUGUGGAUAAUGUAGAAAAAGUGGAAGCUCAAGUGAUUCUCCAGAUAUGUCUGAAACCUCCACAAGCAAAAGGGUGGCAGCUUCAUUAUUUCAUUGUUCCAGCAGCCAGAAACUACAGAACAGAACUUACCAGAGAAGAAAAAGGGAAACCAUCUCCAUGCAAAAGGAGGUAAAACAUUGCCUAAAAAGAAACGUCAGCAGAGACCGCAUUUAUGACUGACCAUAACAUGGCUUCCCAUCUAUUGUCAGCAAGAGAUCAUGACAUUAAAGAACUGAAAAAUGAAGUUGCUGUUCUGCGGAAUAAAUUGGAGACAUUUACUGUGGAAAAUAAAAUCUUGAAGCAUCUUCAGUCUCAACAUUUAAGAGCAAUCGUAAAUAUAAAAAUGCAGAGAUUAACCUGCCUGAUCUUUUGGCCACGCAGUCUAAUGAAGUGCUGACUCUGAGAUUGCUUCUCAGGACAUCUCAGGAAGAAGCUGAGAGAGGUUCAGACAGAACUCUUAAAUACAAGGGACGCCUUGCGAGCAUUGCAGAAAUUUUCUGAAGACAAUUAACAUCAUAAAGCAAAAAAUUGGAAGCCAGUGAUAAGAGAAUCCAGGUAACGUGCAACUUACAUUACUUAGAACAACGUAGCUGGGCUCUGGGAGAGCCCUAUAAAGAAAUGCUUUAAGCUGACUUGCUUCAGCCUGCAGUAGGGACCAUUCCCUACAGGCACCAUCCUCAAGUCUCCAAGAUUCCUUUGAUAUUGAAAUGAACAGAAAACCUGCUCAAGGGGGAACAUCAAUUUUGCACAUACAAAAUUUAGAAACAAGAACAGCUUCCUCAAAGCUCUAGUUUCCAAUGAAAUCUAUUUGUAUUCAGAUUCUUAAAUUGUUAUCCAGCAAUUAGAGACAUAGAUGUGCUGCAUUUGGUUUCCCACUUCAGUUCUUUGGGAGUUUCUUAUUUGCUGGAAGAGAUAAUAAUUUCAAAUGUCAUUGGUAGAAUUGUGACUCGUUGCACAGUCAGCCAGAUGUCCAGACUGGAUUUGAAUUUUCAUCCACCUAUCCAGUCCUUCUCAAGGACCUGGCAGAUGCAUUAUUACUAUGCUUCAGCACACAGUCAACCAGAUGUUAUACUGGAUGUGGCAUUUUAUCACCUACCAAGACCUUCCAAAGGGCCUGGGGUAGGCAAGUAUUUGUGUUUGGUAGUGUUAAAGGUAUUGUCACAGGAUGGAACUUGUGCCAAGCAAAGCUGCCUUUGGCAACUGACUGAGGGUGAUUUUGUCAGUGCCGAUGGUAUUUAAGUGGUGUCCUAGUUGUUUUGGGAUGGCAUCCAAGCCACCUAUUAAUUUUGUUCUCUUUUGCUACAAUAAUUCUAAUUCUGUUUACUGGUCUUUGAAUUUUGUUAUUUUCUCCAAUUCUUUCUCUGCUUUUCUGCUGUCUACAAGAAUUGUCAUAUCCUCUUUCUGGACAUCAUCAUUCUUAUUCUUAUUCAUUUGCCACCCAACUUAUGGUUCAAGGUGACAACUAGCUAAAGGAACAACUUUGCCUUCAUUUUUUCCUAGCAGCAUAUUACAGGUAAUGUUCACCCAACAGCAUUCACAUAAAAACCCUUUAGUUUUCUUAGUUGUGUUUUUCUUAAAAACUGGAUGUAAAAGGGAACUUUUCCUAUGGCUUACUUAAAAUGCCCUGUUUGGAAAAAUCAUACUGCAAUUUAAAAUUACACUAGAUCAGUCUCCUCUGACUUUUUGUUUGAAGUCUGUAAUUACAUGCAGGUUUAAAAGCUUACUGGUAUCUUCCGAAGAGAAAGUUACUUUUGGGUUUGGAGAAAACGCCUCAGAAAACAGUGGUCAGCCAAGAGAACAAAUCAGUCAAUCAUCAAAUAAACCAGCUCAGAGUUUUCACUCAAGGCACCAAUGACCAGACUCAAAUUAUCCCACUUGGGACACAUUAUGCAAAGACCAAGCCCUCUGGAGAAGGUUCUAGUGCAAGGAAAUGUGGAAGGGAAAAGAACAGGGUGACCCGCAGCAAAGUGGAUGGACUCAGUUACUGGAGUGAAGAGUGCAUCGUUGAAGAGCUGAAGGACCAGAUUACGAGCAGAUAAUGAUGAGGUUGCUAAAAAUCGAUCAAAACUCCUUUCUUCUUUCAAUUUUUCACCUUGCCAAAUGAACUCUUCUGAAAAAUGCGAAAAACUCAAUUUUAUGAUCUUAGAUUGUCCCAAUAAACUUG